rnacentral:rRNA from 1 species
CUAAGAAUCCCGCAAUGGGCGAAAGCCUGACGGAGCAAUCUUGCAUGGGCGAUUAAGGUUUUCGGACUGUAAAGCCCUUUUGCCAGGAAAGAAUAAGUCAAUCAGGAAAUGGAUUGAUGAUGACGGUACCUGUAGAAUAAGUCCCGGCUAAUUACGUG